rnacentral:snRNA from 12 species
UCGUCGUCGUCGUCGUCGUCCGUCCGAAGGACCAGAAGCGAGACGACCACGACCAAGUCGAAGCCCAAGUCGAGCAAAAAAGUUUCGUCGUCGUCGUCGUCGUCGUCGGCCUGGGAGAGAAACCGGUCCAAAGCCG